rnacentral:rRNA from 1 species
ACGAUUAAAGCUCCCUUCGGGGAGUGCAUAAAGUGGCGCACGGGUGAGUAACACGUAAGUAAUCUGCCUUCGAGUGGGGAAUAACCCGGGGAAACCCGAGCUAAUACCGCAUAAUGCAGCGGCACCUAAUGGUGACAGUUGUUAAAGGAGCAAUCCGCUUGAAGAGGAGCUUGCGGCAGAUUAGCUUGUUGGUAAGGUAAUGGCUUACCAAGGCUACGAUCUGUAUCCGGUCUAAGAGGACGGUCGGACACACUGACACUGAAUAACGGGUCAGACUCCUACGGGAAGCAGCAGUCGGGAAUUUUGGGCAAUGGGGGAAACCCUGACCCAGCAACGCCGCGUGAAGGAUGAAGUAUUUUGGUAUGUAAACUUCGAAAGAAUAGGAAGAAUUAAUGACGGUACUAUUUAUAAGGUCCGGCUAACUACGUGCCAGCAGCCGCGGUAAUACGUAGGGACCAAGCGUUG